CCCGUGCACCCGAUACACCUGUGAGACUUACCUGAGCUCACAAAUACCAUCUGCUCUCAACAAACAGACACCAAACUUAUGUCACUGAUUCAUUAAAUCAUAGCUAAUAUACAUAGAAAUCUCUGAAGACAACAAUAUACUGUUGCAAAUAGUGUAGAGAUUGUGAUUUUAUCGUAGAUUUGACUGGAUGAAAGUGCUUUAGGUUAUGAUACUACUGGUUAAUAUUUUCCUGACCCACAAAUCCUUGGUUACAUCAGUGAAAAAUUCAGCGUCUCAUUAACUGUCCUAUCUGUGCAUUUUGUGGAAAUAUUACCCUGACAUUUCACCUAGUCAUUGCAUUUUGAUGACAUAUUAGAAAAACUAAAUUUAAAAUCAUUAUAAUUUUUACAUUUUAUAAAUACUGUGACAACAAAAUUAACAUUCCCACUUUUAUAACGAUUGUAACGAUUUAUAAAUCGAGGGAACGAAAUAGCGAAUUGUGAGCACGAUUUAGCAAAUCGAGGUAACGAAAUAGCAAAUCGCUCACACAAUUUAAAGUACUGAGGGAACGAAAUAGCAAAUCUUGCACACGAUUUAGCGUGGUAAACCGCUACAUUAUUAAAACGAUUAAAAAGAAUAAACGAAUCAUUUAAACAGAUUCAAUUAAGUUCAAAAGAAUCGGUUCAGUAAACGAUUCAUGUCCAAAUGAAUCAUGUACUAGUUUCGAUUCGUUUAAAUGCCAGAGGCGGUGUUUAACUUCGUUCAAAGUAGGCUGAUACAUUUUGGUUGUAUUUUUACCGACUGUUUCGCUACAGAUGUGUUAUCAAACGGGUCAGUGACUUUAUUACUUUACAUUAACGGAAUUUCGCGUUCAUAAUUACGAAGAUUGGUCACAGACUCGUUAAAAAAUGACACAUAACCUGUCGUACAGUGCAGUGGCGGCAAGAGGAGCACCAGCAUCAUCUGAUACACAACCACGCUCUGACCUGAUGAAGCUGAAGAAAUCACUUUGGGAUCUGAUGACCCAAUAUCCUGAAGGCAUCACUUUAAGUAAAGCUCGCAGGUUCUGCCCACUCCUCCUCGACCCAGAGCUACUGAAGGACCACGCUUCUGUCCGCCAGCUCUUGGCAUCCAUGCCUGAUGUGGUGACACUAUGGGGAUUCGGUGUCCAGACACUCCUUCUCCCUGCUGACACUAAUUGGAACAGGAGAAGUCUUGUGGGAUAGCCAUUGUUUACAGAUAAGUUAUCCCACAAUACUCUACCAUCAAAAAACAGGACACUUAACUACAUGAACACUUUCCUCCACUAAACUGUGACCUUUCCAUCUUGGCCUGGAUGACCAUAGAAAAUAGCUGUAAUAAGAAUACAUGGAUUUUUCAUACCACAUUUUUUUUAACCACAUUUUGACCAGAAGAAGAAUUGUAUUCUUAAAUAUAAUAUAGAAAUCGCUGUGUUUACAUCUUUGAAGACCACAGAAGCACUUAGUUAUGUAUGUGGUCACGCACAAAUCAGGAAAUAACAGCGAAAUGUAUCCUAUAUUUCUAUGUUUAUAACUUUGAAUAAUAAUAUUUACACAUUUUAACUUUAAAUGUUUUGUAAAGAAAUGUUCACAAGAACUUGUGACUUUUAUAUUUUUAAUAUGAUUUUUAAAAUAUAUAUACACACACACUAUAGUAAAUACAUGCAUCCUCCUAAAAAAUAAUAUUGUCAGAAAGCAUCUGCAAUAAAUGAAAACUUUGAUUUUUAA